UACGAAGGGGGGCUAGCGUUGUUCGGAAUUACUGGGCGUAAAGCGCACGUAGGCGGUUCGUUAAGUCAGGUGUGAAAUCCCCCGGCUCAACCGGGGAAUUGCGCCUGAUACUGGCGGGCUAGAGAUCGAUAGGGGUGAGUGGAACUCCAGGUGGAGCGGUGAAAUGCGUAGAUAUCUGGAGGAACACCGGUGGCGAAAGCGGCUCACUGGAUCGAUACUGACGCUGAGGUGCGAAAGCUAGGGUAGCAAACGGG
rnacentral:rRNA from 1 species